rnacentral:lncRNA from 1 species
UUGAAUCUUUGUAGCUGAAGCAUGAUGGUUUCUUAACGUUGGUUCCAGUCUAGGACGAACAAGCCUAGGAGGUCCUGCUCUCGGAGAAGCAGCUCUUGGAGGUGGAGGCAGAAACGGAGAAGCAGCUCUAGGUGAAUUGGCUCGUGGAGAAGAAGCAGUCUUCGGAGAAGCAGCCCUUGGAGAGGCAAUCCUUUGAGAACGAACACGAGGAGACGCAGCUCUAGGAAGCAUGAAAGGUGGUGUUCUAAGUAGAUCCGGUGGUGUUGAAGGCCGGAACGAUAGUUUCCGAUCUCUUUCAGCCUCCCCAAGAAUUUUCUCGAUACUACUCGGUUCCCUAAACAGGGGAAUGAAGGAAUUAGCUUCUCCAU